GACGAACGCUGGCGGCGUGCCUAAUACAUGCAAGUAGAACGCUGAAGAGAGGAGCUUGCUCUUCUUGGAUGAGUUGCGAACGGGUGAGUAACGCGUGGGUAACCUGCCUUGUAGCGGAGGAUAACUAUUGGAAACGAUAGCUAAUACCGCAUGACAAUGGAUGACACAUGUCAUUUAUUUGAAAGGGGCAAUUGCUCCACUACAAGAUGGACCUGCGUUGUAUUAGCUAGUAGGUGAGGUAAUGACUCACCUAGGCGACGAUACAUAGCCGACCUGAGAGGGUGAUCGGCCACACUGGGACUGAGAAACGGCCCAGACUCCUACGGGAGGCAGCAGGAGGGAAUCUUCGGCAAUGGGGGCAACCCUGACCGAGCAACGCCGCGUGAGUGAAGAAGGUUUUCGGAUCGUAAAGCUCUGUUGUAAGUCAAGAACGGGUGUGGGAGUGGAAAGUUCACACUGUGACGGUAGCUUACCAGAAAGGGACGGCUAACUACGUGCCAGCCGCCGCGGUAAUAC
rnacentral:rRNA from 1 species